rnacentral:lncRNA from 1 species
ACGCCGCCGCGCGCCGGCCCAGCGGCCGGGCGCAGCCGGGGAGCCCUCCGCGCCGCGCGCCGCCGCCUCCCCUACACUGCCGCAGCGCGCCGCAGUCCGGCCUCCCCGCCCAGCGCGGGGAAGGCUGGCUGGCCGCCUCGUCACGUGUCCUCGGCGAUCGCCCAACAGUUCCGGUGGUGAGGAGUCCUUUCCAAAUAUCAGAGGAAUAAAGAAGUCACUUCCCCAGCUGUCAUCAUCUGCCUACACAUUGAGCAAGAAUAUUUCAAGCACUAUAGAAAAGACAGUCCUUCGAACCCUAGAAGAUGAUCAGCCAUCUGAUUUUUUCAAGACAGGGAAUAGGGUGAUGAAAUCUCAUCAGAAAAGCNGCCAUCUGAUUUUUUCAAGACAGGGAAUAGGGUGAUGAAAUCUCAUCAGAAAAGCACGUUGACGGUUUAUUUUAACCAGGAUUCUUGCGAUUGGAUCAGAGCUGCUGAGGACCAGCAGGGGCUCACUAGAGAACAUAAGCACAAUUUCAUCCCCACGAUUUCUGAUACCCACCCCAACACAGCCUCAUGUUCUAAAUGCUGCAGACAAGAAUCCUGCCGUGUCCCGCAGACGGCGCCCGAGAGUGGAGUCCUGGCCUGCUGUGGUUGGUCACGUCCAAGCCACCCAGUGUCCUGCCAGUCUGGGGACAUGUCACUGUCUUCAGAGAAGUGCCUCUCAUCUCUGAGAGUUGUUGACCUACAUGUUGUGUUUAAACCAACUUAAAUAAUCCAAGGUUUAAAAAAAAAAAAGUGUAGAGAAAGUUAAGAACACCUGCAGGUUUAGAAUCAGUUAACAGAAAAAGUUGUAAAAACAUCCAAGAACAGACUGCAAAAACCUGUCCGUGUUAGCCAAGGUUCCUUAGGCUGAGACUAUUUCUCAACUCUGUAAGGACCACGCCGGCUGAAGGUUCAUGACUGACGGGCAGGGCAGAGCGGGUGCCGGUGUCGACACAGACAGGGGCAUCGUUGGUCUCAUGGCAGCGACGGGCUGAAAGGAGGAAGGCUUGUCCUGGUUCCCAAGCCAGUAGGCUAGUUUCCAGAAAGACGGAACAGUCUCUACCUUUCAUGAUUCAAAUACUGUCUGUUUUCUCUUACUAUUUCACUUACUCAAGUAGUUAAAAAUAGAGAACUCUAGGUGGUACUGUGUUUCAAGGUCACAGAGAGGCAGUAUUUAUGAUUUAUUCAUGUCCGUAUACAGAGGCCCAUUUCAAAUGGCCUGACCCCAUCGAGCAUGUUUGUUAUUUCUCUUAUAAUUAUUGUAUGCUUGGUUUUGUACCCAAUAAAAUGAAACAUGUCUAAGUUUUUGUGAAGCUGGGUUUUUCCUCCCUUGAGGUCAAUUAAACAGUAGGAAAUGUCUGGGUUUUUUGGGUACGGUUUUGUUUUGCUUUUCAUGCAAUUCUCUUCCUGAGUUUGUCUCAUUUCUGCCCAGUCAUCUCACAGAACCGUGAGGCAGGAGACUCUGCGCCGUGUCCUUUCUUAAUACUCAGCAACGUACCUGCCAACGUGACUAGGUGCCCCUGGGAAGCACCACUGGUGUGGUUUUUUCUUUAAUUUUUUAUUAUGUUAGUCACCAUGAUGUUGUGUUCCAUGAUUCAUCGUUUGCAUAUAACACCAAGUGCUCCAUGCAAUACGUGCCCUCCUUAAUACCCAUCACCGGCACUGGUGUUUUCUUGAGUCCCUGUUCCUCUUAUUCCCCCCAGAAGGUGUCAAACAGUUAGGGAGCCAGGACGGAAAUUCCGUAACAGUAAAGUGAUGUGAUGGGAGCUCGUGCACGAACGUGCCCCUCCUGGGCUGGGCGUCUGCUCUCCCCAGGAGCGCCUACAGCUGCAAACAUUCUCGGAGGCCCUUUGCUCCUUUUUCUAAACUCCUUUCUGACAAGGAGGUGCAUUCUUUUGAGUCCGCCAAAUAGUGGAGAUUUAAAAAAUAAUUCUGGGGCAUUAAAAAGCAAAAUUCCACCGAGAAAAUUUUAUAGAUCUUAUUGGUUUUAUUUAGUGAUGCGUGAGUUGGGCAGCAUUCCAUCCAGCAGGUGGAAAGGAGCUCCAAGGAGUGUGCAACAGGAAGGACUUCUAUAGGCAGAAGGGAGUGGGCACGAGGAAGUUGUACCAGAAAAGAAAGUGGCUGGGUUAUUGCAAACUCACUGUCCUUUCGGGGGUAGCUGGGGUCUUAUCAGGCGGAUGACCUCCCUAGAGAUGAUCAGGUGACUCCUGACUGCCUGGUUGAAGAUCCCGCUCUGGGAGAGCCCAGACUCUGAGUAAGGCCGGGUUCUGUGGCCGGCUGGGUAAAGUCACCCAUAUGGGCCUGUGGUUCUUAUCGGGGGGUUUAAAAAUAAUUUUCUGGCAGUUGGAAAGUUAACCAUGUUGGAGGUUUUAAAUCAUAAAUUUGUACAUAAAAUGGUAGAUGAUUUUUGGAUGUUGCUGUUUUAUCAUCCACGAGGUGGCAAAGAAACCUCUCGACCUAACCUAAAACCACCUCAGCCUAAUGGUCUCCAUAUCAAGCACAGAAUAAUGCUCAAUGAAGGAACAUAGACCAUUAAUUUGUAAAAAUCUUCCUAGAGACCCUGCUUUAAACAAUAGGAUUCAAAUAUCCCUGUCCUU